rnacentral:rRNA from 1 species
GUGCCAGCCGCCGCGGUAAGACAGAGGGUGCAAACGUUGUUCGGAAUUACUGGGCGUAAAGCGUGUGUAGGCGGUCUGACAAGUCGGACGUGAAAGCCCCGGGCUCAACUCGGGAAGUGCGCUCGAUACUGUCAGACUUGAGUGUCGGAGAGGUUGGUAGAAUUCUCGGUGUAGAGGUGAAAUUCGUAGAUAUCGAGAGGAAUACCGGCGGCGAAGGCGGCCAACUGGACGAACACUGACGCUGAGACACGAAAGCGUGGGGAGCAAACAGGAUUAGAUACCCUGGUAGUCC